CCUACGGGAGGCAGCAGUAGGGAAUCUUCCACAAUGGGCGAAAGCCUGAUGGAGCAACGCCGCGUGGGUGAAGAAGGUCUUCGGAUCGUAAAACCCUGUUGUUAGAGAAGAAAGUGCGUGAGAGUAACUGUUCACGUUUCGACGGUAUCUAACCAGAAAGCCCCGGCUAACUACGUGCCAGCAGCCGCGGUAAUACGUAGGUGGCAAGCGUUAGCCGGAUUUAUUGGGCGUAAAGGGAACGCAGGCGGUCUUUUAAGUCUGAUGUGAAAGCCUUCGGCUUAACCGGAGUAGUGCAUUGGAAACUGGGAGACUGGAGUGCAGAAGAGGAGAGUGGAACUCCAUGUGUAGCGGUGAAAUGCGUAGAUAUAUGGAAGAACACCAGUGGCGAAAGCGGCUCUCUGGUCUGUAACUGACGCUGAGGUUCGAAAGCGUGGGUAGCAAACAGGAUUAGAUACCCGAGUAGUC
rnacentral:rRNA from 1 species